rnacentral:tRNA from 1 species
GCCUUCGUGGUGCAGUGGUCAACACGCUCGACGCGUAUUCCGUGGUUCGAGUCCCGGCGAGGGCA